rnacentral:rRNA from 1 species
UACAGAGGUCUCAAGCGUUGUUCGGAUUCAUUGGGCGUAAAGGGUGCGUAGGCGGCGCGGUAAGUCGGGUGUGAAAUCUCGGGGCUUAACCCCGAAACUGCACUUGAUACUGCGGUGCUCGAGUACUGGAGAGGAGAUUGGAAUUUACGGUGUAGCAGUGAAAUGCGUAGAUAUCGUAAGGAAGACCAGUGGCGAAGGCGAAUCUCUGGACAGUUACUGACACUGAGGCACGAAGGCCAGGGGAGCAAACGGG